rnacentral:pre_miRNA from 1 species
AGUGGAAUUUGCUAAGUCAUAUGGUAAUUCUGUAUUUAACUUUUUCAGGAACAGUCAAACUGUUUUUCACAGAGGCUGUACCAUUUUACAUUCUCGCCAGCAAU